AACGAACGCUGGCGGCAUGCCUAAUACAUGCAAGUCGAACGACCGGAGCAAUCCGGGAGUGGCGAACGGGUGAGUAACACGUGGGAACCUGCCCAGCGGUGGGGAACAACCGAGGGAAACUUCGGCUAAUACCGCAUACGCCCUUACGGGGAAAGAUUUAUCGCCGUUGGAGGGGCCCGCGUCCGAUUAGCUAGUUGGUGAGGUAACGGCUCACCAAGGCAACGAUCGGUAACUGGUCUGAGAGGACGACCAGUCACACUGGGACUGAGACACGGCCCAGACUCCUACGGGAGGCAGCAGUAGGGAAUAUUGGACAAUGGGGGAAACCCUGAUCCAGCAAUGCCGCGUGAGUGAUGAAGGCCUUAGGGUUGUAAAGCUCUUUCGUCCACGACGAUGAUGACGGUAGUGGAAGAAGAAGCCCCGGCUAACUUCGUGCCAGCCGCCGCCGUAA
rnacentral:rRNA from 1 species